rnacentral:rRNA from 1 species
UACGUAGGGCGCAAGCGUUGUCCGGAAUUACUGGGCGUAAAGCGCACGUAGGCGGGUUGUUAAGUCAGGGGUGAAAUCCUGGAGCUCAACUCCAGAACUGCCUUUGAUACUGGCAACCUAGAGACUGGAAGAGGUUAGUGGAAUUCCCAGUGUAGAGGUGAAAUUCGUAGAUAUUGGGAAGAACACCAGUGGCGAAGGCGGCUAACUGGUCCAGCACUGACGCUGAGGUGCGAAAGCGUGGGGAGCAAACAGG